CAUUGCUUUAGCUUGGGUGCUGUUUUGGAAAUUUCCCAAUUUAAUAUCUGACCAGGACAGAGAUUUAUAGCAGGCUAGAUGGGGUGGAGCAGACUGCCAUUGAUGGGUAGGUGCAGUAAAUAAAUGGAUGGCAUGCUAAAAAUAGCCUAGAAGAAGAUGGACCACCACUCGAAGUAUCAGCCUUGACUGUGCAUAGUCCCUUCAAAAUGACUAAGCAUCUGCUGAGAUGGG